UUCUUUCUCUUUUUCAUCCAUGCUCUCUUGCUCUUCUGCCUUCCACCAUGGGAUGGUGCAGCAAAAACACUCUCACCAGAUGUGAGCCCCCUUGACCUUGGACUUCCUGGCCUCCAGAGCUUUAAGAGAUAAGUUUCUGUUCUUAAUAAACUACCCAGACUCACAUAUUCUGUUACAGCAGCAUGAAGCAGACAAAGACUAUAUGUGUGUAAAUACACCCCCCCCACACACACAUAUAUAGAAAAAUAUAUAUUUAUAUGUACAAGAUAUAUACCAUUUAGGAUGUUUUUAACAUCAAGAGCUUGGAUAUAGGAACAUGUUCUGAUGGGAGCUCUGCUGGGGUUUUUAAGGUUAGCACAAGGGAAACAUUGAAACAAAAUGCUUUCUCUACGCAAAGUGUGAUUUGGUUUUGCAUAAUGCAUUGUGCUUCAGGUGCCAAGUUCCAGACACAAGGAGAAUUAAUGGAAUAGCAUCAGUAAAGGGCUUUAGACUCCUCAGAGGAAGUUCCCCAGCCUCAUUAAAGGUAGCCCUGUUGGAGCUGGAAAUUAUUUUUAUCUGCUAUUCUGGACUUCCUUCCAUCAUCUGGAAGGAUUAUCACUCCUGGUGCACCCCUACUUUGAAGAGUUGCAUUUAUUCAUUACUGCAAAUGAGGCUUUAAAAUGACUCAUCACAUAAAUAAAAUUCAAUGGAAAUUCAAGGAGGAAACAGAUGGAGAUGCCUACAAGGACAAUUGAGAAAAUAAUCUUAAAGAAGGAGGAAUUUAAGGUAAUCCUUGAAGAAUAGGUCUUACUUCAACAUGCCAUGAUGGGAAGAGGG
rnacentral:lncRNA from 1 species